rnacentral:tRNA from 2 species
UCGGGAUAGCUCAGCUGGUAGAGCAGAGGACUGAAAAUCCU